CUUAUAUAACCUACACAUGAUGGGAGAGUCCAAUCAAAGAAGAUGGGUCAUUCUUCAGUACCAGCUCUUUCCUGAUGGUCAAAAC
ensembl:misc_RNA